rnacentral:rRNA from 1 species
AGUGACAAUAAAUAACAAUAUAGGGCUCUUUUGGGUCUUAUAAUUGGAAUGAGUACAAUUUAAAUCCCUUAACGAGGAUCAAUUGGAGGGCAAGUCUGGUGCCAGCAGCCGCGGUAAUUCCAGCUCCAAUAGCGUAUAUUAAAGUUGUUGCCGUUAAAAAGCUCGUAGUCGAACUUCGGCCUCUGCCGCCCGGUCCGCCUAUUUGGGUGUGUACUGGAGCGGUGGAGGCUUACCUCGUGGUGAGCAAUCAUACCCUUCACUGGGCGUGGUUGGGAACCAUGAUUUUUACUUUGAAAAAAUUAGAGUGUUCAAAGCAGGCUUACGCCCGAAUACAUUAGCAUGGAAUAAUAAAAUAGGACGUGCGGUUCUAUUUUGUUGGUUUCUAGGAUCGCCGUAAUGAUUAAUAGGGAUAGUUGGGGGCAUUCGUAUUCAAUUGCUAGAGGUGAAAUUCUUGGAUUUAUUGAAGACGAACUACUGCGAAAGCAUUUGCCAAGGAUGUUUUCAUUGAUCAAGAACGAAGGUUAGGGGAUCGAAAACGAUCAGAUACCGUUGUAGUCUUAACAGUAAACGAUGCCGACUAGGGAUCGGACGAGGAUUUUUAAUGACUCGUUCGGCACCUGAAGAGAAAUCUUUAAGUCUAGGUUCGGGGGGGAGUAUGGUCGCAAGGCUGAAACUUAAAGGAAUUGACGGAAGGGCACCACCAGGUGUGGAGCCUGCGGCUUAAUUUGACUCAACACGGGGAAACUCACCAGGUCCAGACACGACAAGGAUUGACAGAUUGAUAGCUCUUUCUUGAUUUCGUGGUUGGUGGUGCAUGGCCGUUCUUAGUUGGUGGAGUGAUUUGUCUGGUUAAUUCCGAUAACGA